rnacentral:rRNA from 1 species
CAUAUCAAUAAGCGGAGGAAAAGAAACCAACCGGGAUUGCCUUAGUAACGGCGAGUGAAGCGGCAAAAGCUCAAAUUUGAAAUCUGGUACCUUCGGUGCCCGAGUUGUAAUUUGGAGAGGGCAACUUUGGGGCCGUUCCUUGUCUAUGUUCCUUGGAACAGGACGUCAUAGAGGGUGAGAAUCCCGUGUGGCGAGGAGUGCGGUUCUUUGUAAAGUGCCUUCGAAGAGUCGAGUUGUUUGGGAAUGCAGCUCUAAGUGGGUGGUAAAUUCCAUCUAAAGCUAAAUAUUGGCGAGAGACCGAUAGCGAACAAGUACAGUGAUGGAAAGAUGAAAAGAACUUUGAAAAGAGAGUGAAAAAGUACGUGAAAUUGUUGAAAGGGAAGGGCAUUUGAUCAGACAUGGUGUUUUGUGCCCUCUGCUCCUUGUGGGUAGGGGAAUCUCGCAUUUCACUGGGCCAGCAUCAGUUUUGGUGGCAGGAUAAAUCCAUAGGAAUGUAGCUUGCCUCGGUAAGUAUUAUAGCCUGUGGGAAUACUGCCAGCUGGGACUGAGGACUGCGACGUAAGUCAAGGAUGCUGGCAUAAUG